rnacentral:tRNA from 1 species
GCCAGGGUGGCUUAGUCGGUUAAGUGUCCGACUUUGGUUCAGGUCAUGAUCUCACGGUUCGUGGGUUCAAACCCCGCAUCGGGCU